UACGGAGGAUCCAAGCGUUAUCCGGAUUCAUUGGGUUUAAAGGGCUCGUAGGCGGCCAACUAAGUCAGACGUGAAAUCCCUCGGCUUAACCGGGGAACUGCAUCUGAUACUGGAUGGCUUGAGAUUGGGAGAGGGAUGCGGAAUUCCAGGUGUAGCGGUGAAAUGCGUAGAUAUCUGGAGGAACACCGGUGGCGAAGGCGGCAUCCUGGACCAACACUGACGCUGAGGAGCGAAAGCCAGGGGAGCAAACGGG
rnacentral:rRNA from 1 species